rnacentral:rRNA from 1 species
GUAAGGAAUAUUGGUCAAUGGGGGCAACCCUGAACCAGCCAUGCCGCGUGAAGGAUGAAGGCGUUAUGCGUUGUAAACUUCUUUUGUAUGGGAAGAAUGACAGGUAUUUAUCCUUGGAGAGACGGUACCAUACGAAUAAGCACCGGCUAACUCCGUGCCAGCAGCCGCGGUAAUACGGAGGGUGCAAGCGUUAUCCGGAAUCACUGGGUUUAAAGGGUACGUAGUCGGUUAAUGAAGUCAGUAGUGAAAGACUGUCGCUCAACGACGGAUGUGCUAUUAAUACUGGUUAACUUGAAUCAGGUUAGAGUUGGCGGAAUGGGUCAUGUAGCGGUGAAAUGCUUAGAUAUGACUUGGAACACCGAUAGCGAAGGCAGCUGACUGAGCCUUGAUUGACGCUGAGGUACGAAAGCAUGGGGAGCAAACAGGAUUAGAUACCCUUGUAGUCC